UAGGGAAUCUUCGGCAAUGGGGGGAACCCUGACCGAGCAACGCCGCGUGAGUGAAGAAGGAUUCCGGAUCGUAAAGCUCUGUUGUUAAGGAAGAACGAGCGUGAGAAUGGAAAGUUCAUGCUGUGACGGUACUUAACCAGAAAGGGACGGCUAACUACGUGCCAGCAGCCGCGGUAAUACGAAGGUCCCGAGCGUUGUCCGGAUAUAGUGGGCAUAAAGCGAGCGCAGGCGGUUAGAAAAGUCUGAAGUGAAAGGCAGUGGCUCAACCAUUGUAGGCUUUGGAAACUGUUUAACUGGAGUGCAGAAGGGGAGAGUGGAAUUCCAUGUGUAGCGGUGAAGUGCGUAGAUAUAAGGAGGAACGCCGUUGACGACAGCGGCUCUCUUGUCUGUAACUGACGCUGAGGCUCGAAGGCGUGGGGAGCGAACAGG
rnacentral:rRNA from 1 species